GAUGAACGCUGGCGGCGUGCCUAAUACAUGCAAGUCGAGCGAACAGAUGAGGAGCUUGCUCCUCUGACGUUAGCGGCGGACGGGUGAGUAACACGUGGAUAACCUACCUAUAAGACUGGGAUAACUUCGGGAAACCGGAGCUAAUACCGGAUAAUAUAUUGAACCGCAUGGGUCAAUAGUGAAAGACGGUUUUGCUGUCACUUAUAGAUGGAUCCGCGCCGCAUUAGCUAGUUGUUAAGGUAACGGCUUACGAAGGCAACGAGGCGUAGCCGACCUGAGAGAGGGGUCGGCCACAUUGGAACUGGGACACGGUCAAGACGACUACGGGAGGGAGCAGAAGGGAAUCUUACGCAAUGGGGGAAAGCAUGACAGAACAAGGGCGAGUGAGUGACGAAGGUGUUGGGAUCGUAAAAAUCUGUUAUUAGGGGAGAACCAAUGUGGAAGGAAACAAGGACGUAUUGACGGUACCUAAUCAGAAAGCAACGGCUAACUACGUG
rnacentral:rRNA from 1 species